rnacentral:rRNA from 1 species
GAUCCUGGCUCAGGACGAACGCUGGCGGCGCGCCUAACACAUGCAAGUCGAACGAGCGAGAGAGAGCUUGCUUUCUCGAGCGAGUGGCGAACGGGUGAGUAACGCGUGAGGAACCUGCCUCAAAGAGGGGGACAACAGUUGGAAACGACUGCUAAUACCGCAUAAGCCCACGGUGCCGCAUGGCACAGAGGGAAAAGGAGCAAUCCGCUUUGAGAUGGCCUCGCGUCCGAUUAG